GGAACUUCUUCCACCUCUGUCCACCAGUGUUAAUCUUCACGCUGCGUGUAGGUCUCGCGAGAUUUCACGAGACGAUAAGUUGAAGGGAACAUGGCGACGUCUCAUUUGCUAAAGAACAAAGGCUCCCUUCAAUUUGAGGACAAAUGGGAGCUGAUGCGUCCGAUCGUGCUGAAGCUGCUGCGGCAGGAGAGUGUCACCAAGCAGCAGUGGUUCGACCUAUUCUCGAUUGGUGACAAAGCGCAGCCCUGGCGGAGGCCAACCCUCACCGGAAAUGGG